GGAAUAUUGGUCAAUGGAGGCAACUCUGAACCAGCCAUGCCGCGUGCAGGAAGACAGCCCUCUGGGUCGUAAACUGCUUUUAUUCGUGAAUAAACCACAUUACGUGUAAUGUGCUGAAUGUACCGAAGGAAUAAGGAUCGGCUAACUCCGUGCCAGCAGCCGCGGUAAUACGGAGGAUCCAAGCGUUAUCCGGAUUUAUUGGGUUUAAAGGGUGCGUAGGCGGCUUAUUAAGUCAGGGGUGAAAGACGGUGGCUCAACCAUCGCAGUGCCUUUGAUACUGAUGAGCUUGAAUACACUAGAGGUAGGCGGAAUGUGACAAGUAGCGGUGAAAUGCAUAGAUAUGUCACAGAACACCGAUUGCGAAGGCAGCUUACUAUGGUGUGAUUGACGCUGAGGCACGAAAGCGUGGGGAUCAAACA
rnacentral:rRNA from 1 species